UUGUUGGUAGAGAGCUGCUGUCCUCAGAUGUUUCAUCAAGCAAAAAUGCAGACCCAGCUCUUGUGAACUUGCUCAAGGUCUCUUUUACAAGGUCUAAUUUCUCCUUGGCACAGUAAGUUUGACCAGCCCCCUUCAGACAGAAUAGAUCUGGCAAGAUUCCUUGAAGAAAUUGUCUGAUAAUUUACUGCUUCAUCCAUUCUGUUUUUUGAAAACCGAUGGUCGUGGUGAGAAGACCAGAAAAAAGCAGG
rnacentral:misc_RNA from 1 species